GGGAUACAUUUUAAGGGAAGGGGAGUUUAAAAAAGUGAAUGCUUUUAUUCUAAGUAUACCUUUUAUUCUAUAUUCUGUAUUACCUUUUGGAGAACGUUACAUCACUCAGAAAAAUAAAGUAACUCCCAAUAUGUAUCUAUUUAGGAUUAAUAUUUUUAAAUAGUUUUGGUUUGAAAAUGUAUUCAUUCACUCAAAAGUAGGUACAGCUUUAGACCUAGACUUUGAGUUGUCCGUUUGUGAUGGUCUUUUAAAUUGUGGUUUUAAUAAGGAGAAAGACGUGUGACAGUGUCCUGUGACUGCUGCUGUCCACGUUUAUGAAAACAGUAUGUCCUCAGAGUGAUGUGGGGUUGGUGAGAAGUUCUUCUGAUUCUGCGGCCUCAGUGAGUUUAAGAGAAGUUUCUUAUGUAGUCUUAGCUUUUCCGUACCAGCUUUCUUUCAUCAACCUUUCCUAACAAUAAAGAAGAAGAAAAUAGCAACAGUUUUAUUUCCCCUGGUUUACCUUUCUUAUUUCUGUGACUACAUGACACCAAAGUAACUGGUUGGGAAACCAAUUCAGAUGACCAGUUGCUAGUUUUCACAACUUCUGAUCAAACUCUCAGUUGGACUGACAUUUAUUACCAGUGAAAAGACUGAAUAUUUGGAUUCCUGUGGAGUCAGCCUUUGUCUCUUCCCAUUUUCCACAGUUCUCCAAUUUUUCCCUCUUACUACCCAGUUUCCUCCAAUUGUUUCCUACUGCGUUUAGGGGAAUUUCUUCCUUAUGGUUCUGAAUCUUUGGAAUUACAAGAGACAUGAGAACAGGGCUUCUCAUCGAGGUUAUGUUUUCCCAUGUCCACUAUUAAAUAGUUUUUUCUAUCAUGAAAGCAAACAUAGGAAGAAACCAACAUAUCUGAGAUCCAUAAAGGUGAACCCCUACCCCCUUUUUUCAAAACUUCAUUUUGUGCAGAAAGGCAACAUUAAAAACUUUUCCUCCAUAUAUUCUGUCUACGAAAGCUCUAUAAAGAUGAGAAAUAUGAUAUAGUUAUGCAGCUCUUCUAUGUUAGGGACAUAGCAUGUGCAUGUCGGCAUUUAGCUGCUGUCAGUAUUUUCGCUGCAGGGAUAUUCAGCAGGAACGAGAAUCAGCACCCAGAACCUGGUUGCCACAACACAAGGAUACACUGUUCUUCUCAGUCCUAGAGAUGUCGACUUGCCUUGCAUCCAGCUUUUCUUAGGUGUGGCCAGUGGUGGCUUGUUAGCGGGCCUGAUACCUGAUGUUCUGAUCAGUCUGUCUGAAACUGUCUUCUUCCUUCUAUAUUAGGAGAAGAUACAUUUUGAAUGUUUCAUCAGUAAUCAAAUAACCAACAUGUGGGAUAUACAGGACAUAAGGGAACUAACAAUCAAACACCAGUUACUGAAUACUCCAUGACACCCGUGGAAUGCGGCCAGGAAACGUGAAGCGUAUGACGGAUAGUACGCAAAAGAGAAAUAACUGAGAAGUCACAGAGUUAAGGCAAGUUUUAAGUCUCCUUUAAAUGCCUUGGAGCAAAACAGGCCAAUUACAGCUUUUGUUUGAAUGAAUCCAUCCAGUAGGAACUUCUGUCAAUAUGCAGGGAAAUCUACAUCAUUGCUACUCAAAGUGUGGUCCACAGACCAGCAGCAUCAGCAUCAGCAUCACCGAAGACCUUUUUAGAAAUAUAGACUCUUGGGGCCCAUUCCACACCUACUGAAUCAGAAGUUGCAUUUUAGCAAGGUCUGCAGGUAAUUGAGAAACACUGAUUUAGGUCAUGGUUAGAAUUAAGACUACUUUAUCUGUUUUAGUUCAGCUGCUUCAGGUUUUGAAUGCUGGAGUCCUUCCUCCUUGCCUCCCCCGCCCCCUUCUUGUUCUUCAUUUUCAUGAAACAUUUGGGAGAACAUUGCUAAAGAAAAAAGUUUCAAAUUUUUUUGAGACAACAGAAGAAAAAGAGCACCACUUUAUAACUUUGUCCAACUCCAAAUUGAGAUUCAAUGAAAGGGAAAAUAUAAAAUAGCUCCAGUCGUUUGCAUACAAUAUAUGGCUUGAACUUUGUUCUGUAUAAGGCUUUGUCUCCAAAUAAAACAAUUGUAUGAAAAACCCCACUAACUUCAUCUUCUUUAAUUUUCUGUGGUCUCUCCGUCCCUUCCAGCUGUGAAAUGCCUAUUUUCUUUUCCUCAGUCUCUUUCUCUCAUGCCUCCCCUCGCUCGCCCCCUCUUCCAGCUGGUAACAGUUUAUGAAGCAUGUUGCAGUGUUAAUACCGUGUUAAGGUGCUUUCAGCUGUUGGGUCUUUGAGACGUCAACGUCAGGACUGUUUUACUGUGAACGCUUGGCGGGUAGGGUAAAUCUGGGGACAUGCUGAACUUCUAGCUCCUCACCCUGUAGGAAGCCUUACAGCUAUAGGCACCUCUCCCAUAAUGCAGUGUUGCUGGCUGGGUAUUUUAUUUGGAAGGUGGUUCUAGGGAGCAGAAGUAAAGGAGCAGAAGGAACGAGAAUGAGCAGAAGGACAAGCCAGUCUCAGAGUGUGUUACUGACAUCACUGCUACAAACAAGGGAGCCUUGGCUGCACCAGGACCUCCAUGGAAGCACACGAAUGCUUCCCAGAAAAGAGGUCCAUCCAUGUUGCUGCAAAUGGCAAGAUUUCAUUCUUUUUAAUGGGUCAUGAAACAUAUGGCCUAUAAAAUCAUUCCCAUUGGGAAAGAAUGGCAGAAAAGUCAUCCUCCUUUGAAGAUAAGUUUAAUUAAAAAGUAAAUUCCAGGGGCUGGCCUGGUGGUGAAGCACGUUCCGCUUCAGCAGCCUGGGGUUCGCCGGUUUGGAUCCCAGGUGCUGACCUAUACACCGCUUGUCAAGCCAUGCCGUGGCAGGCGUCCCACAUGUAAAGAAGAGGAAGAUGGGCAUGGAUGUUAGCUCAGGGCCAGUCUUCCUCAGCAAAAAGAGGAGGAUUAGUGGCAGAUGUUAGCUCAGGGCUAAUCUUCCUCAAAAAAAAAAAAAAAAAAAGUAAAUUCCAUCCUCUCAACAUCACAUCAGUGAUUGCUGCACAAUAACAUUGUUCAUAGCAAAAUUCCUGAUUGUUACUCAUUUUGUUUUUUAAAGCAAAUGCUGUCAUUGAGGAUUAAAAAUGUUUUUUUCAAUUAUACAAAUACAAAAAUGUUUAUUUUUAACUCAUCUAUAACAUUUUACAUGUACUUUUAAAUAGUUGUUUAAAAUAGUUGGAAAUAGGAUUUCUAAAUUAAUCAUUGUUUUAAAUAGUUUGGAUUAAGAUUUCUGAAUACUGGAUCUCCUGUGAAAUGAGGGAGUGGAGGGCAGAAUGUUUAUAAUAAAGUGCUUUACAUACUAAUCAUCUAGAAUGGGAUAGAAUAAACUGUUUCAAAUAUCCUUCCAGUUGUAAUGAUAGGAUGUUUUUAGGUAAAUUUACAGAAUUUGUUUUAUUUUACAAAUUGAUUGGUGUAUUCAUCAUUCACAGAUUUAUUAGUGAAAGCUGGAUUCUAAAUGACUUUCCUAUGAUAAGCUUUCCAAUUAAUUCUUCUCACACUGUUUUCCUGGUGACACUUGAACUUCCUUCAUUAUAUAAAACACAUCUGGAGUGAGACAUUGCUGAAUAAUAAUCAUGGAUGCUAACGUGUUAAGUAUUGGACCCCUGACAUAGUCAAAUGUGUUCUGGUUUAAAACAAUGACCUCAACUAAUGCUGCUUUAAGCGAACCACAUUUAGCAAGAAUAUAUAGGCAUGUCUGUUGAGCUCGCCUGUCUUGCGCUAGAAUUGGUCAAAAAGAGAGAAAUCAAAUUGCAAACUGUCUCCUUUGUGUAAUAGAGUUGGCUAUAUUAAGUCAUAUUUUUCCUCUCAUCAGCAAAUAUUUUUUCUUCUCUCUUGUCUUAUAUGAAAAAUAUUGCAAUAAGUAAAUAUUAAAAAAGGAUUAUCUAAAACAUAUGUUAAAUUAUGUAUUACUUAAAAUUUACAUUUGUAUCAUAGGGUUACUGAAUUUUUUCUGUGGUGUAUUUCAUAAAAGAGAAGAUGCUGAUAAGAUCUUGUUUAAAUGGCUUGCUAAUACAAGAAGCAGAUCAUUUAAAAUGAAACUUACAUCUUUAUAGGAUGUUAGAAAUGAAGACAUUACUUCAAAAUGUAGGUAAUUAUUGCCUCCUCUUUUAUCAGUGCUAUUUUCUGAGGUAUUAUCAUAAGAGAGCACUUUAGUAUUAAACACAGCCUUCGAGUGGCUAUAAAUCAGGCCAACUGAGUCAUCAUUGUCUAAGGCAUCUGAACUACUGCAAUGUUGUGGAUCCUACCGAGAGUGUGAAAUCACUUGACCCUUGGCAUUAACCUUCGCUGAAUGAAUAGACACUGCUUUCCACAUUGAGGAACAAAGCAGAAGACUAUUGAUUAAACACCACAUUCACUUGAUAUUAAAUACCGGCUGAACUCACUUCUUGCUUCCAGUUCCAGAGGGAGAAACCCAGAGAGUUGCUGAGUCUCAGGAGAAUGGAUGUUUGUAAUUCAGAGCAAUGUUUUUCCUGCAAAGUACUUUUUUUCUCCUUUGAUCAAUACCUAGCAGCCAUGAUCAGCCAUGAGUAUGUAUUGUCAAUUCUGACCUGUGUAUUUUAUCACUUAAGGUGAGAGGUCACAGUGCUGUGACUAAUAUUUCAGUUCUCAGCAUGAAUUGUUUCCUGACUUCAAUAUCUGUGUGAAGCAGCCAUUUCUUUCAUUUCAUUUCUUGUUUAUGAAUCAUUUUUUUUGACAGUUGAUUUGCCUGCAUUAAUAAAACACAUUAUUUAAAACAAAUUUUUUUAAUCACUGUUUUUGCAGAUGGUGAAUUUUCUAGAACUUGACAUUAUUAGAAGAAAUCAUAAUCACAGGACGUUUUAUGAUUUAUGGUUUAUGUUAUUUGGGAAAGAGAAACAUAGUUCAAUAAAUUUCUCAAGUUAGAAGAAAGCAAAAGCUUUGGAAGAGAGUACAGUGAUGCUUAUGAGUGUAAAGGGAACAAUAAAAGAUAUUUUACAGGAAGUCUUAAGCUAAUUGUCCUCUGAUCCACUGCUUGUACCUACACUAUUGACAACAGUUUGACAGCUUCUUGGUAGACUUACUUUAUCCAGAAGGUGAACAUUUAUUGUUGACAUAUAAAUUAAUUCAAUUCAUAGAACUAGAAUUAAGUUUAAAAUUUUAGCCACAAACAAGAAAAGCAUUUACACCUUAAAUUUAAAUAGUUUCUAUGUGCUUAUAAACUGGAAUUACUUUAUUGCAGGAAGCAACAGAAAUAGCUACAAUUUCUUUCUUCUCUCUCAAAGUUUUCAUAUUAUUUUGGAACAAAUAAUUACAUAUUAUCUGGCCUGGAUAUUGCACGA
ensembl:lncRNA